AGAAUCAACGCUGGCGGCGUGCCUAACACAUGCAAGUCGAACGAGAAAGUGGAGCAAUCCAUGAGUAAAGUGGCGACCGGGUGAGUAACACGUGACUAACCUACCUUCGAGUGGGGGAUAACAUCGGGAAACCGAUGCUAAUACCGCAUAACAUCGCAAGAUCAAAGCAGCAAUGCGCUUGAAGAGGGGGUCGCGGCUGAUUAGCUAGUUGGCGGGGUAAUGGCCCACCAAGGCGAAGAUCGGUAUCCGGCCUGAGAGGGCGCACGGACACACUGGAACUGAAACACGGUCCAGACUCCUACGGGAGGCAGCAGUGGGGAAUUUUGCGCAAUGGGGGAAACCCUGACGCAGCAACGCCGCGUGGAGGAUGAAGCCCUUGGGGCGUAAACUCCUUUCGACCAAGACGAUAAUGACGGUACUGGUGGAAGAAGCACCGGCUAACUCUGUGCCAGCAGCCGC
rnacentral:rRNA from 1 species